GGUUCGCAGGUCGUAUAUUUAACCCUGUAACUAUCCAGGACACCAUAAAACCUGUUUAUGGGAGGUACUGUUUUACUCGGAAGACUUCACUGAACACAAAUAUUAGUGUAAUGUAUCAUGACGAUAUAGUCAGUGAAAGUGCCAUUUUUUGCAUUUUUCACACACAAACAACACUUUCACUACCGAUAUCAUUGUUGUGAUAUGUGUUACUGUUUUGAAACACUAAUAUUACUGUUCAGCGAAGUCUCCCGAGUAUAACAGUACCCCCGAUGUACAGGUUUUAUGGUGUUUUCAAAAGUUAGAGUCAAAUAUAAGGCUUGCAUUUCAGUUUUUUUCACAUUUGCAAGACUGGUUAUGUUGCCUUUAAGACCAAAAGGUAGCCC